GACGAACGCUGGCGGCGUGCUUAACACAUGCAAGUCGAACGGAAAGGCCCUGCUUUUGUGGGGUGCUCGAGUGGCGAACGGGUGUGUAACAAGUGAGUAACCUGCCCUUGAACUUGGGAUAACUUCAGGAAACUGGGGCUAAUACCGGAUAGGAGCUCCUGCUGCAUGGUGGGGGUUGGAAAGUUUCGGCGGUUGGGGAUGGACUCGCGGCUUAUCAGCUUGUUGGUGGGGUAGUGGCGUACAAAGGCUUUGACGGGUAGCCGGCCUGAGAGGGUGACCGGCCACAAUGGGACUGAGAUACGGCCCAGACUCCUACGGGAGGCAGCAGUGGGGAAUAUAGCGCAACGGGCGGAAGCCUGAUGCAGCAACGCCGCGUGCGGGAUGACGGCCUUCGAGUUGUAAACCGCUUUCGACUGUGACGAAGCGUGAGUGACGGUAAUGGGUAAAGAAGCACCGGCUAACUACGUG
rnacentral:rRNA from 1 species